GGGGGUAUAGCUCAGCGGGAGAGCACCUGCUUUGCAAGCAGGGGGUCGCCGGUUCGAAUCCGGCUACCUCCACCA
rnacentral:tRNA from 5 species